UACGUAGGGGUGCAAGCGUUUGUCCGGGAAUUUAUUUGGGGCGUAAAGAGCUCGUAGGCGGUCUGUCGCGUCGGCUGUGAAAAAACCCCGGGAGCUCAACUCCGGGGGCCCUGCAGUCGAUACGGGGGGCAAAACUGGAGUACUGCAGGGGGGGAGACUGGAAUUUCCUGGUGUAGCGGUGAAAAUGCGCAGAUAUCAGGGAGGAAACACCCG
rnacentral:rRNA from 1 species